UGGGGAAUCUUGCGCAAUGGGAGCAAUCCUGACGCAGCGACGCCGCGUGGGGGAGGAAGGGCUUCGGCUCGUAAACCCCUGUUGCCCGGGGCGAACAUCCCGUUUCGACGGGACUGACGGUACCGGGUGAGGAAGCACCGGCUAACUCCGUGCCAGCAGCCGCGGUAAUACGGAGGGUGCGAGCGUUGUCCGGAAUCACUGGGCGUAAAGGGCGCGUAGGCGGCCCGUCAAGCGCGCGGUGAAAGCCCGGGGCUCAACCCCGGGUCGGCCGUGCGGACUGGGGGGCUCGAGCACUGUAGGGGCGGGUGGAAUUCCGGGUGUAGCGGUGGAAUGCGUAGAGAUCCGGAAGAACACCGGUGGCGAAGGCGGCCCGCUGGGCAGGAAGGCUCGCAAGAGCCGGCUGACGCUGAGGCGCGACAGCGUGGGGAGCAAACAGG
rnacentral:rRNA from 1 species